rnacentral:rRNA from 1 species
GACGAACGCUGGCGGCGUGCUUAACACAUGCAAGUCGAACGAUGAAGCUGGAGCUUGCUCCGGUGGAUUAGUGGCGAACGGGUGAGUAACACGUGAGAAAUCUGCCCUUGACUCUGGGAUAACUGCGGGAAACUGUAGCUAAUACCGGAUAUUUUCCUUGGUGGGCAUCCACUGGGGAAGAAAGAAUUUCGGUCAAGGAUGAUCUCGCGGCCUAUCAGCUAGUUGGUGAGGUAAUGGCUCACCAAGGCGACGACGAGUAGCCGGCCUGAGAGGGUGACCGGCCACACUGGGACUGAGACACGGCCCAGACUCCUACGGGAGGCAGCAGUGGGGAAUAUUGCACAAUGGGCGCAAGCCUGAUGCAGCAACGCCGCGUGAGGGAUGAAGGCCUUCGGGUUGUAAACCUCUUUUAGCAGGGAAGAAGCGAAAGUGACGGUACCUGCAGAAAAAGCACCGGCUAACUACGUGCCAGCCGCCGCCGUAA